UGUAUCGGAAGCCUGACGAGGAUGAGAACCUCCGGGGGCAAGAGGUUCGACUCGAGCGCAGCGAGAGAACGUUGCGUCA
rnacentral:sRNA from 1 species